GGUUGCCUGGCUCAGUCAGUAGAGCAUGUGACUCUUGAUCUCAAGGUUAUGAGUUCAAGCCCAUGUUGAACA
rnacentral:tRNA from 1 species